rnacentral:tRNA from 1 species
UAGGGAGACCUAAUCCAUUUAGAACUUGAAAGCAAUGAAAAUUGCUAAUAGAGCCUAAAUUGGUCUAACCUAGGUCGGUCGCAGACUUGAAGUAAAGCUUUCAAACUAUGAUUUGGUUCGAUAAGGGCUAUUAGCUCAGGUGGUUAGAGCGCACCCCUGAUAAGGGUGAGGUCCCUGGUUCGAGUCCAGGAUGGCCCACCUGAACCAAUUAAAAAUGCAAAAUUAAGAAUUAAAAAUGCAGAAUAUCUUUGUUUUUAAUUUUUAAUUAUCAAUUUUUAAUUGUUUUUGGGGGUUUAGCUCAGUUGGUAGAGCGCCUGCUUUGCAAGCAGGAUGUCAGCGGUUCGAGUCCGCUAACCUCCACAUUUGGAAAAAAAACAGCAACUGAAACUAUUAAUGAUAGUUUUUGACUGCUGGGUUAAAUUCCAGCCAGAACCUUGAAAAUGAAAGUGUUUCGUGAAAGCAACCAGAAAAAAUUGU